rnacentral:rRNA from 1 species
UAACCCGCACCACUUAUCGUGGUGGGAGACAGUGUCAGGCGGGCAGUUUGACUGGGGCGGUCGCCUCCUAAAAGGUAACGGAGGCGCUCAAAGGGUCCCUCAGAAUGGUUGGAAAUCAUUCAUAGAGGGUAAAGGCAUAAGGGAGCUUGACUGCGAGACCUACAAGUCGAGCAGGGUCGAAAGACGGACUUAGUGAUCCGGUGGGUCCGCAUGGAAGGGCCAUCGCUCAACGGAUA